rnacentral:rRNA from 1 species
UACGAAGGGUGCAAGCGUUACUCGGAAUUACUGGGCGUAAAGCGUGCGUAGGUGGUUUGUUAAGUCUGCUGUGAAAGCCCCGGGCUCAACCUGGGAAUGGCAGUGGAUACUGGCAAGCUAGAGUGCGGUAGAGGGGUGUGGAAUUCCCGGUGUAGCGGUGAAAUGCGUAGAGAUGCGGAGGAACACCGAUGGCGAAGGCAGCCCCCUGGGCUAACACUGACGCUCAGGCACGAAAGCGUGGGGAGCAAACAGG